rnacentral:rRNA from 1 species
CCUACGGGAGGCAGCAGUAGGGAAUAUUGCACAAUGGGCGAAACCCUGAAGCAGCAACGCCGCGUGGACGAUGAAGGCUUUAGGAUUGUAAAGCUCUUUUGUUAAAGAAGAUAAUGACGGUACCUAACGAGUAAGCACCGGCUAACUCCGUGCCAGCAGCCGCGGUAAUACGGAGGGUGCUAGCGUUACUCGGAAUCACUGGGCGUAAAGGGUGCGUAGGUGGGGUAAUAAGUCAGAUGUGAAAUCCCGUAGCUUAACUACAGUAAUGCAUGUGAAACUGGUACUCUGGAGUGUAGGAGAGGUAAGUGGAAUUCUUGGUGUAGGGGUAAAAUGCGUAGAGAUCAGGAGGAAUACUCAUUGCGAAGGCGACCUGCUGGAACAUUACUGACGCUGAGGCACGAAAGCGUGGGGAGCAAACAGGAUUAGAUACCCUUGUAGUC